CCUGCCCACUGAUAGUAUAAAAUUUAAUGGCCGCGGUAUUGAUGACCGUGCAAAGGUAGCAUAAUCAUUAGUCUUUUAAUUGAAGGCUUGUAUGAAUGGUUGGACAAAAGGAAAACUGUCUUCUUUAAUAUAACUUGAAUUUAACUUUUAAGUGAAAAGGCUUAAAUGUCUCAGAGGGACGAUAAGACCCUAUAAAGCUUUAUAUGGAAUAAAUUUUAGAUUAAGUUUUUAUUAAAGAUUAAGAUUUAUGUUUAUAUUUUGUUGGGGCAACAAAAGUAUAAUUAUUAAUAACUGCUUAGUUUAUAAACAGAUAUAUUUGUAUUAUUAAGUGAUCCUUAUUUAAAGAUUUCAAGAUUAAGUUACUUUAGGGAUAACAGCGUAAUUUUUUUAGAGAGUUCAUAUCGAAAAAAGAGUUUGCGACCUCGAUGUUGAAUUAAAAUUUCUAUAUAGUGCAGCUAUUAUAUAAG
rnacentral:rRNA from 2 species